AUGGAUUUUCUUGUGUGGAGGAAAACUGCUCUUAAUUUACCCACUCAUUUCACUUUGGUUCUCAGCUUUUAAGAUACAUUUCUCUACAGGAGAUAGUUAAGCUCUGUGCAUGAGGACAGGGGAUCUGGGCAUAUUUGCUGCAGAAGAUGGUGUGGCUCACUCUGCAAAUCUCUGUAUGAGCCAGAGGCACUGUACAGCAGAGCGUGUGCGAGGGUAACGUGAAUAAUUCUGUUCUCUUUCAAAGGCUCCUGCUUAGAAAGGAUCAGAACUCAAGAGAAGUCUGCAUGACCUUACAGAUCCAUUAGGGUACUGUCUUAGGGAAGAAAUGGGUCUCAUACUGUGUUCUGAAAGCUGCAAACAGGAAAUUUAUUGUGCUGAUGCCACUACUGAGUGCCAAAAAUAGCUAUGGACACUUGAAUUGCUGGAAGACUGUAACCUGGAGAGGUACUGUUCAAAACCAGACAAUCCGCAUGGUACAAAGCAGGUCACCUUGAAGCCCCCUCUGCUCAUUUUACACAGCUUGGGAAAAGCUUUUCAUCUCCUGGCCUUGAUGUUGGGAAGGGACAACAGCUAUUCAAGCACCACCAAAGCUUAAGGUGUGUUGGGAGCCAAAACCCGGCUGAAAAUCAGAUUAUCUGCAGGCUUAACAGGAAGGUCAAAUGUAUUUCCUUGGCUGAAUUCCCAUGUUUGCUGAAAGCCAGGCAGAUUACUCAGGACAUGAAUUGCAGCCCUGAAUACAGGUAUUCUUUUUUUGCUUCCUAACACUCAAGGGCAGUUGUUUGUCAUUAUUUUUGCCUUUUUUAUGUGUUGGAAACUCUUCCAAACACUGUGUUAGCAUAUUUCAGUUCAUAGAGAGCUCACGAACCUCACUUUG